rnacentral:rRNA from 1 species
UGGGGAAUUUUGGACAAUGGGCGAAAGCCUGAUCCAGCAAUGCCGCGUGUGUGAAGAAGGCCUUCGGGUUGUAAAGCACUUUUGUCCGGAAAGAAAUCCUUGGCUCUAAUACAGUCGGGGGAUGACGGUACCGGAAGAAUAAGCACCGGCUAACUACGUGCCAGCAGCCGCGGUAAUACGUAGGGUGCAAGCGUUAAUCGGAAUUACUGGGCGUAAAGCGUGCGCAGGCGGUUUGCUAAGACCGAUGUGAAAUCCCCGGGCUCAACCUGGGAACUGCAUUUGGGUGACUGGCAGGCUAGAGUAUGGCAGAGGGGGGUAGAAUUCCACGUGUAGCAGUGAAAUGCGUAGAGAUGUGGAGGAAUACCGAUGGCGAAGGCAGCCCCCUGGGCCAAUACUGACGCUCAUGCACGAAAGCGUGGGGAGCAAACAGGAUUAGAUACCCUGGU